rnacentral:misc_RNA from 1 species
AACGCACCUUGCGCUCCUUGGUAUUCCAUGGAGCAUGCCUGUUUGAGUGUCACGUAAACCCUCGCCCUUUGCGAUGUCAAAGUCGCCUAGUGGUGGAUUUGGACUGUGCCGUAACUGGCUCGUCCUGAAAUGCAUUAGCUUGUGCUCGUUAGAGUGCUCGGCAUGGUGUGAUAAUUAUCUGCGCCGUCGCCUUAGGCCUCUUCUGUGUGCGCUGCUUCUAAUCGUCCCUCGUCGGACAAACCAAACUUUAAGCUUUGGCCUCAAAUCAGGUAGGACUACCCGCUGAACUUAA